GAAAAACCAGUCCCUGAUUCCCACCCCCACCCCCAUCCAGUUCCCUCCUUCUUUUGUUAAAGCUUUCUGUAGAGAGCAAUGACUGAGAGGAUCAAAGCAUCUACUUCCUUCCCUUUGAUGUGUGGUCUGAGACAGGCUCUGAUGUCAGCCACGUGUUGUAUUUCAUUAGACCUGAUAUUAAGCUUCCUAGAGGUCAGGACGACCAUGCUGCUUUAAGAACCAGGCUAUAAGAAGGCUCACUUUGCUGAAAAUAUCAGAGGUCUCAGCACCCCUUCAGACCCACUAGGAAAUUAUACAGCAACUAUGCUGUAAGAAGCCAAGUCAAAUGGAGAGGCUACAUGGAAGGAAUACUGAGGCCCUCCAGUCAACAGCCCUCACUGAAUUUCCAGGCAACAGCCUGCAUCAACUAACAGCUUUAUGGAUAAGCUGUCUUAGACACACCAGCUGGUCCAGUCCCCAGAUGACUGAAGCUCCAAACAUCAUUUAGAGGAGAAGAAUCACCCAGCCUAGCCCAGUCACCCUGCAGAAUCAUGAGAGUUAAUAAAAU
rnacentral:lncRNA from 1 species